UUCGGGCCUUCGUCACACGGUGUUCCAGGUGGUCAGUGCCCUCUCCUCGAUCUUGGCACGCAUUAGCCCACGGAGGAGCGGAGUUUCGGCGAGCUCGUGCGUCCGGCGCGCCGCCAACGCGCCAUUAGUCCACGCACGACCUCCCCACCUAGACGAGGGGGUUAGAAUGCCGCGCCGUCCACGCUCCGGAACCAUCCACCUCACUUCGCCCCAUCUUUUUCGUUUCGCCUUCGCCCUCCUCGCUUCCACCGCCUGUUCGAUCCGCCGUCCAUCCGCCAUGAAUCCAUCCUCGUUCGUGCCUGCUGUGUGCUGAGCUCCGUCGGCGGUCGCUGGUGUUGCUCCAUGGGGAUGUUAUGCGGUGGAUUUGGUUGAGGUCGUCGCGCUACUGGGAUUGACGUGUCGGGUGGUUGCGGCUGUUUUCGUCGGUCUGCUGUUCGGUUCCAUCCUUGAUUAUUUUCUGUUGUGGGCUGUUGCUGGACUGUCCGUGACGUUCUGCUUGGACUCCUUGUUUGUCAGAUUGACUGAUGCUGCGAGGUGUUGCUGAGACUGUGUGUGAGCUGCUGCUGGUACUUCCUUGUUUGCCAGGAUAAUGAUUGAUGCGGGGUGGCUUUCGGACACCUCCGCCUCAAGACCGUCAAGUGCAACCCCGUCUAUCGUCGAUGCUACACCAUGGCCAAAGAGUCCCCCAAGUGGACCUUCAACCCUAAACCACGCUACACGCAACAAGGUGAACUCCUUCCUCUCGAUACUCGACCUCGUCAAUACCUUGAAUGGAAUGCUACCUCAUAUUGGUGUGCUACAUAUCAUUAGGUACAAGAAUCAUCGAGGAACCGGAGAGGAGGAACACCCAUGGUGCAAGGAAGCGAGGGAAGAAGGAAGAAGAAGAAGAGAAGAAGGAAGAGGGAGGAGGAGGCCCGGCCGGCCCGUAGUCCGGUCCGA